rnacentral:rRNA from 1 species
GUUACUCCUACGGGGGAGGCAGCAGGUGGGGAAAUAUUUGCACAAGUGGGGGGAAAACCCUGAUGCAGCCAUGCCGCGUGUGUGAAGAAGGCCUUUCGGGGUUGUAAAGCACUUUCAGUAGGGAGGAAGGUAGUGUAGUUAACACCUGCACUAUUUGACGUUACCUACAGAAGAAGCACCGGCUAACUCCGUGCCAGCAGCCGCGGUAAUACGGAGGGUGCGAGCGUUAAUCGGAAUUACUGGGCGUAAAGCGCAUGCAGGCGGCCUGUUAAGUCAGAUGUGAAAGCCCGGGGCUUAACCUCGGAAUUGCAUUUGAAACUGGCAGGCUAGAGUCUUGUAGAGGGGGGUAGGAAUUUCAGGUGUAGCGGUGAAAUGCGUAGAGAUCUGAAGGAAUACCAGUGGCGAAGGCGGCCCCCUGGACAAAGACUGACGCUCAGAUGCGAAAGCGUGGGGAGCAAACAGGAUUAGAUACCCUGGUAG